GACCUGAGCCGAAGUCGGAUGCUCAACCAACUGAGCCACCCAGGUGCCCUGAAAGCUAUUCUUUUUUUAUGGGUUUGCCAUGUAGUAACAUCAAGAAUUUUGAUAAAGAGUGCCAUAUUUUAGGUAAAACUCUAGUCCUAAAUUUGUCUACUGCAGUUCUGAAAAUUAUUAGAAUACUUUACUAUACUAUAUAUUCUUAUGUCCUACCAAACCUCAAGCAGGCAGAACCUCAAAUCGGCUUAACAGCAAUAUCCCCAGGUUUUUUGUUUUUGUUUUUUUAAAUCUCACUUAUCCUGGUAAUCCAUUCAUCUGCAAGUCGGGGAUUUGACUACAAGGAAGGAUCAAAUCAUGUAGGAGUCUUCCAAAACCAGAAACCCAAAGGCAGAAGUGUGGUUAUUAUUUCCCUAGAGAAGAUACUUCCAAAGAGAAUCUAUAUUUCCCAGGAGCCCUUUAUUAAUAUUCUAAGUAUAAAUCUCUGAGGUUAUCCAAUAAAGCAAUUUGGGAUAAAGUCUUCUGCAGAAAUGUUUGAAGCUUAUGGAACAGUGGUUCCCCAAUUUGGGCACAUGGGAUAUACCCUGAGAUGAUUAAAAAUACUGACACCUGGCUCCUACCUACAGACAUGGUGUUUUAGUUUAGCUGGGCAAAACGUGGGCAUCAGGCCUUUCAAUCCCUGUCUCCACAUUCUAAUGUGCAGCAAAAUCUGGAAACCACUGUUACAAAAAUGGUGUCUUCAAAUUUUUCUGCCUUCAGUUCUGGGAUUGACAGGAAACACAAAUCCUAAGCCCUUAUUUCUGGGAUCUUUUGGGGCUGAAUGAAACAGAGAAAGCACAAGGUAACACCCACCAUGCUGGAACCAUUUUCACAUGACCAUAGUAUUUUCUCUCCACAGAAUUUCAGGCAAAAGUAUAAUAGAGGGCCAGCUGAAACCACUGUGAAGCAAGUAUCAAUUUGGGGAGUUGUUAGGCAGAUCUGUUAUAGCUAGAACUAUAAGCAGGCAAAGAACUGGUAUAGGGUAGAGACGGAAGACCAAAGUGGGAUAUCCAUCAAAUGUAAACCACUCCACCCCCAGACUGUGGGGACGGGGAGGCUGGGGAGGAACAGGAAAGAUCAAAUACAACUCCUCCUCCCAUCUAUAAGUUCCCACACCAUGGAAACUUUGCAUAAGUGCAACAAAGGCCGGUUCACCACACCCUGAAAUCUCACACCCCCCUCCCUUUCUUCUUGCUGAGGUAACCACACACUGUACCCACAGCGGGAGGCAGCUCAGCAGAGGUCAUCGUGCCCUCAGUUAUCCAGCUUGAGUCCUUGUCUGAAAGCUACUGGGAAUAAGAAGGACGGUACCAUGUCAGUGGGACAGCUUUGAAGACAUACUUGCCUGAGGCUGUGAUGGAAUCAUACCUGUCUACAGUUUCACUGCUUUAUGGCCUAGCAGGAAGAACCAGGGGGGAAGUUUGGACAUACUGACAGAUGCGCAAAGAGGGAAGAAGAUGUGAAAGCACACAGGGAGAAGACAGUCAUGUGACUGCAGUGAUGACAUUUAGAAACCAAUGGAUGCCAAGGAUUGCUGGCAAACACCAGAAGCUAGAAGAGGCAAGGAAACAUUCUCCCCUCGAAACAUCCGAGAAAGCACAGCCUUGCUAAUAACCCCUUGAUCUAUGACUUCUGGCCUCCAGAACCAUGUGACAAUAAAUUUGUUUAAAAAUUUU